rnacentral:rRNA from 1 species
AUGGUUGGACCACUGAGAACAGGCAGGAGCGGCUUCACUCAUGUGCUGGUAGCAGUCGACAAGUUCACCAAAUGGAUUGAAGCCAAGCCUAUCAAGAAUCUUGAUGCUUGCACUGCUAUCAGUUUCAUCAGAGAGUUGAUAUUCAGAUAUGGAGUUCCACACAGCAUCAUCACCGACAACGGGUCAAACUUCGAUUCCGACAAAUUCAGGGCCUUUUGCGCCUCUCAGGGCACUCGAGUCGACUAUGCUUCGGUCGCUCACCCCCAGUCGAAUGGGCAAGCAGAAAGGGUGAACGACCUGAUUCUCAAAGGACUAAAACCCCGAUUGAUGCGCGAUCUCAAGCAUGCAGCAGGUGCAUGGGUCGACGAGCUUCCAUCAGUCCUUUGGGGAUUA